rnacentral:rRNA from 1 species
UACGUAGGGGCAAGCGUUGUCCGGAAUCAUUGGGCGUAAAGAGCGCGUAGGCGGCCCAGUAAGUCCGCUCUGAAAGUCAGGGGCUCAACCCCUGAAUGCGGGUGGAUACUGCUGGGCUAGAGUCCGGAAGAGGCGAGUGGAAUUCCUGGUGUAGCGGUGAAAUGCGUAGAUAUCAGGAGGAACACCGGUGGUGUAGACGGCUUCUGGACCGUAACUGACGCUGAGACACGAAAGCGUGGGUAGCAACAGG